rnacentral:rRNA from 1 species
UACGAAGGGGGCUAGCGUUGUUCGGAAUUACUGGGCGUAAAGCGUGCGCAGGCGGCCUUCCAAGUCAGGGGUGAAAGCCCAGAGCUCAACUCUGGAAUUGCCUUUGAGACUGUGAGGCUUGAGUACGGGAGAGGUGAGUGGAAUUCCCAGUGUAGAGGUGAAAUGCGUAGAGAUCAGGAAGAACACCCGUGGCGAAGGCGGCCCACUGGGCCGGUGCUGACGCUGAGGCGCGAAGGCGUGGGGAGCGAACGGG